rnacentral:rRNA from 1 species
UACGAACUGUGCAAACGUUAUUCGGAAUCACUGGGCUUAAAGGGUGCGUAGGCGGCUUAUCAAGUAGGGUGUGAAAGCCCCCGGCUUAACCGGGGAAUUGCGCCCUAAACUGACGAGCUAGAGUGGGACAGGGGUGUGUGGAACUUCCGGUGGAGCGGUGAAAUGUGUUGAUAUCGGAAGGAACGCCGGUGGCGAAAGCGACGUGCUGGACCUCUUCUGACGCUGAGGCGCGAAAGCCAGGGGAGCAAACGGG